AGAGUUUGAUCCUGGCUCAGGACGAACGCUGGCGGCGUGCCUAAAACAUGCAAGUCGAACGAGGGAGCAAUCCCUAGUGGCGAACGGCGGAGUAAUACAUGAACAACGUGCCCUAAAGUCCGGGACAAACGCAGAAAUGCCAUAAAUACCGGAUGUGGUCCAGACCUGGCAUCAGGAUUGGAUUAAACGGUUUUUCGCUUUAGGAGCGGUUCAUGGCCUAUCAGGUAGUUGGUGGGGUAAUGGCCUACCAAGCCGACGACAGGUAGCGGGUCUGAGAGGAUGAUCCGCUCGAGUGGGACUGAGACACGGCCCACACACCUACGGGUGGCAGCAGUUGGGAAUCUUGCACAAUGGGGGAAACCCUGAUGCAGCGACGCCGCGUGGAGGAUGACGGAUCUAGGUCUGUAAACUCCUUUUUCAUGGAAAGACUUAGGACGGUACCAUGAGA
rnacentral:rRNA from 1 species